GCUUUCGUGGUGUAGCGGUCAGCACGCUCGACCUGUAAUCAAGAGGUCCGUGGUUCGAGUCCCGGCGAGGGCA
rnacentral:tRNA from 1 species